AAAGCCUUGGAAAAUCUGGUGUGGGGGAAAUAAACCUUAACAAAAAUAGAACAACCAUCAUUCUGAGGUAUAAUUUACCUGCAUUAAGGAGGUAAUAUGUAUCAUGCCUUGCUUUAAGUAAACUUUCUGGAUGUAUGGAGAUUAGAUCCAGCAGCAAUUAAACCAUUGCCUCUGGAACACUGCACAUCUUCAGGUGUGUUACAAAGGCUACUGUGGUGAAGAAGCAAACUGUAACAUGAAUGCCAGGACUGUCUGCAGCACCAUCUCUUGCUAGCAAUGUGGCAAGAGCUUCACAAAUAGAAGUGUGAUUCUUUGAGCCCUUACAACAUCCAAAUAUAGAAUAUGUAAGUAUAUAGAUAUACUAAAUAUAGAAUAUGUAAGAUGUAAGUACUCUC
rnacentral:lncRNA from 1 species